GGAGGGUACCGCUCAAGGGCAGAGCACGUGCUUAGCAUGCACGAAGUCCUGGGUUCAAUCCCCAGCGCCUCCA
rnacentral:tRNA from 1 species